AGUCCUGCCAACAGCUGUGAGUGAGCAUGGACGCAGAUCCUCUCCCAGUGGAGCAUUUGGAUGACCACGGCUCUGGCUAACACCUCACUUACAGCCUUGGGAGAGAUUCUGAGUCAGAGGCAUCCAGCUAAAUUGACCCACAGACACGUUCAAAUUCUGGAUGAGAAUUCGCUUCUGCAAAUUAGAAGCAAUUCAUCUAAGAUAAUGAACACAGAAGCGAAGCAGAAGCCAUUUUCCUACAUCCUUUCGACUGUUUUAACUGCAAACAAAGAUAAAGAAAUGCAAGGUGUUAGCAGUGCUUUUUGUGGCACUUUCCAAUUUUCUGGGUGUCAAGAGGCAAUUGUGACUACAGCAUUAGCAGUGUAACUCUGGCUUCCUGAUUACUGGAUUGCAGCAAGAGGAGUAUAUUCAUAACACACAGUUGCAGCAACCAUAUUAGCUAUAACUGGCUCUUGGGUGGAUCAUUUCUGUACUCCCUAAAGUCAUUCCAGCAAGAACAGCCUAGAACUCAUAUCUUAGAUCUUCCAACUAUUUUAUAAGCAUCAAAUUCUCUUGUAUUAAAUAUCUUCCUGUUUUAAAUAAAUGUAAUUUUUGUUUCCUGGACUAAAUCCUGACUCACACGCUAUUUGAUGUAUCUGUGUGUCUGUGGAACUAAUACUAAAGUUUCAUGAAAAUCCCCUUUUUAUGUGUGAUACAUUAAUUUUUCUAUUUUACUUGUCCUAUUUACAAUUCUCUUAAGUCUAUAGUCACUCUUAAAUUUCCAUGCUAUUCUAUGUCUAUUCAUUAAAUAAAAUGCUAAUUGCAAUGUUUAAAAUCUACUUCAUGACCCACCAACAGGUUGCAAGCUUCAGUUAAAAGACACUGCUUACAGCAUGAUCUUAUUAAGAGAGCCGAAGUAUACUGCAGAAUAUCACAACUGCAUUACUUAUUUUUCUUUUAUUCCAUCCUGGUCUUCAUGAUAGACAAUCGAAGCUUUUCCAGCUAUCAUCUUAUUGGCCUCUACCUAAAUAGGAGACAGCAUUCAGGCAAGUCUCCACAUAGCUAAAAAAUGUUUUCAACAAAUAAGCAAAAAUGGAGAACAGAAAAUAAGAAGAAGAAAAUCGUACGACUGACAUUAAGGUUUGGG
rnacentral:lncRNA from 1 species